UUGAGUAAUUAUGAUGAUUAACUUACCGCCCCAGUCUGAAAUGACAUGACUGAUUGGUUUUUCUGAUCUCAA